AGCAGCAGCAGACCUGGCACUUGUGCUGCACUUAGAGCUUGGGCCUCAGCUAUACCCUGGGGGGGAGAAUUUGAACAUGACUUAAAGGCAUUUUGGGUGUUUAGGGGCCAUCUUUCCUGUGUUUCUAUCAGCUCAUCUUCUGAGGGAUGUGUUUGGGGGCUGGAAACAAGCCUCUGCAAAACCCUAAAUGCACAUUGGCCAGCCCCAGGUUUCUGAGGAAGGAGUGUCAGUGAGGAGCUGUGAAAUCAGGACAAAACUUCUGGCCAGGAGCUGGCUGGUAACAGUUUCCACCCUGCUCUAAGAAGCCUUCAGGCAAAGAGAUCUGCAAACAUUUUUGUCUGAGAAACAGAAUGGUGGUGCUGAACUGAGCUACACUGAAAAAUGUAAUGGGCACCUAUCAUGGAUGUGGAUGCUUAUUGUCCCAAACAUGGGCCAUUUUUUAUUAUGAAAUUAAGCCUGUAAACAGAUCUCAGAACAAGAUGACUUAGAAAUUGAAACUGAUGGCUGUAAUGAAAGAGCCAUGUUACCAAGGAGUGACAAACAGGAAUUUUGGACAGAUUUAGACUGCUGGAGGAACUGGGAAGGAGAAAUUGUCCUGACUACAAAAUUUUGCAAAAGGCUGGAAGCAGCAUUUGAGGGAGAGGGGAAAGCAGAAAACAGUGAAGAUGAGCUGAGAGAGGGACAGAGAUGGUGAUUUGAAGAUUUCUGGAAGAGACAGAGCAGAUGUAUUGCUGAUGUGCUGUAAAUAAAGUGCACCACAACCA